UCCGUAGGUGAACCUGCGGAAGGAUCAUUAAAAAUUUAAUUGUUUACACGUUUACGUUUAACAUAUACAACUAACCAACUUAAUUAUGUCAACAACAACAACCAAAAAUCAAAACUUUCAACAACGGAUCUCUUGGUUCUCGCAUCGAUGAAGAACGCAGCGAAAUGCGAUAAGUAAUAUGAAUUGCAGAUUUUCGUGAAUCAUCGAAUCUUUGAACGCACAUUGCACCUUGUGGUAUUCCACAAGGUAUGCCUGUUUGAGCGUCAUUUCUCCCUCAACCCCCGCGGGUUGGCGUUGAAUGGCACGAGCUCUUAGUCAGUCCAUUCGAAAAGUAUUUUUCUUGUGUUGUUAUUUUCUAAUUUAGUAGUGACAACCACACUAAAAACACAUUUUCCUCAAAUCAGGUAGGACUACCCGCUGAACUUAAGCAUAUCAAUAAGCGGAGGAUAAGCUGGCCACCGG
rnacentral:rRNA from 1 species